ensembl:snRNA U6 U6 spliceosomal RNA
GUGCUCGAUUUGGCAACACAUAUACUAAGAUUGGAAUGAUACAGAAGAGAGUAGCAUGGCCCCUGUGCAAGGAUGAUAUGCAAGUUUGUGAAGUGUUUCAUAAUUUU